UACGUAGGGUGCAAGCGUUAAUCGGAAUUACUGGGCGUAAAGCGUGCGCAGGCGGUUGUGCAAGACAGAGGUGAAAUCCCCGGGCUUAACCUGGGAAUGGCCUUUGUGACUGCACGGCUAGAGUGUGUCAGAGGGGGGUAGAAUUCCACGUGUAGCAGUGAAAUGCGUAGAUAUUGGGAGGAACACCAGUGGCGAAGGCGGCUCACUGGACCGGUUCUGACGCUGAGGCGCGAAAGCGUGGGGGCAAACGGG
rnacentral:rRNA from 1 species